AUCUUUGGAUUUGUCUUAUUUUUCGGCCCUCCAAGUGGAGAGACGGUUUGGAUAUAACACAUACCUCAUAUGGGACCCACAGAACACACCAGCAACAUCGGUGGUGUGUGGUAAAUGUGCCAAUUUGGACAUGAUUUGGCUAGUGAUGCGAGAAGCCAGGUGUCCAGUGGUUGGUGCUCUGUGGGCCCCACCAAGAUCUAUGCAUUUUACUUGCACCAUCUUUCAAUUUUUGCACAUCAUUUUAAUACUAUAUCACAUAAACGAGGUAGAUCAAAAUCUCAGGUGGACCACACAGUCGGAAACAGUAGAUAUUAAAUCACACGUGAUACCUAUGGUGUGGUCCACUUGAGCCUUCAAUAUACUUCAUUUUUAGGAUCAUUCACUGAAUGUAUUUAUAAAAAUAAAUGGAUGGAAUGGAUAAACCAUAUGCAUCAUUGGGUGCCCCACGUAGGCACCCAAUCCGCGCCCAAAAUAAUUGAGCGCGCGCUCAAAAUAGAGCCGCGCGCCCAAAAAUACAUACGGCCUCCUCUCUCUCUCUCUCCCCGUCCAAAACCGACUCUCCCUCUUUACGCCCAAAACCCUCUCCCUCCUUCCCUCCCUCCCUCCCUCUCUCUCAACCAUCCCAUUUUCAAAGCCCUAGCAUUUUCUCUCUCUCUCGCCAUCUCAACGGACUUGGAAAGGUAAAGAAGGGCCUGCACAAGCCCAUGAGUAGGGGCUGGUUAUGGUUUAAUCAUCAAGGGAUACACCCUCAAUGGUGUUCUUUUGGGGCUAGCAAGAGGAUUGUCAUCCCUUGGAAGGUACUUGAUGCCUUUGCAGAAAUCCUUGACCUUCUCAAUUUCUUAAUACAGAUUGUUUAACGGUUAAGGUCUGAGGAAAGGCAACUCCUUGGAUGUCAAUUUUCCCUAAUUUCCCACAUCUGGCAACCUCAUUUUAAUAUGGUGGUCUAAAUACCUAUUUAUGACUAGUGGUGAUAUGAUUCGGCUGAAUAAUGUAUCCUACUUAGCAUUUUUGUCUUUCAUUUAAGUGCUAACAGGCCACAUUAACUCCCAAGCUACUUGUGAAUGUGAUGGCACUGAUCAUUUGGCUGCUGGCUUGUGUUACAGUUCAUGAUAAGAAAGAGUAUGUUGUUAAUGCUUCUGCUUGUGGCAACAUAUUCACUCGGCAUAGAUUUGAAGCCUCUUCAAAUUCCAGCUCUUCCAGGAUCACCAAUAUAUGUGCCCCAAUUUUUAACUAUAUCCCAUUUCAUUAGGUGCAUUUUAUACAUUCUGCAAUGCAACAUGCUGAUAUUGACAGUGUUAUGACAUGACUAACUCUAUACUAUAGAUAAGUUGCAGGCUGAUAUUUGCCCUUCUACUUGUCUGACUUUAGAACUGAUAGUAAGCGGGAACUAUUGGUCAUAGGUCAGUGAGUAAUAUCAUGCCGUAUGAGAUAUCUACAAAGUUAGUAAUAUCCCUUGGCAUGUGCUGU